rnacentral:rRNA from 1 species
AGUGGCGGACGGGUGAGUAACGCGUAAGAAUCUAACUUCAGGACGGGGACAACAGUUGGAAACGACUGCUAAUACCCGAUAUGCCGCGAGGUGAAACCUAAUUGGCCUGAAGAAGAGCUUGCGUCUGAUUAGCUAGUUGGUGGGGUAAGAGCCUACCAAGGCGACGAUCAGUAGCUGGUCUGAGAGGAUGAGCAGCCACACUGGGACUGAGACACGGCCCAGACUCCUACGGGAGGCAGCAGUGGGGAAUUUUCCGCAAUGGGCGAAAGCCUGACGGAGCAACGCCGCGUGAGGGAGGAAGGUCUUUGGAUUGUAAACCUCUUUUCUCAAGGAAGAAGUUCUGACGGUACUUGAGGAAUCAGCCUCGGCUAACUCCGUGCCAGCAGCCGCGGUAAUACGGGGGAGGCAAGCGUUAUCCGGAAUUAUUGGGCGUAAAGCGUCCGCAGGUGGUCAGCCAAGUCUGCCGUCAAAUCAGGUUGCUUAACGACCUAAAGGCGGUGGAAACUGGCAGACUAGAGAGCAGUAGGGGUAGCAGGAAUUCCCAGUGUAGCGGUGAAAUGCGUAGAGAUUGGGAAGAACAUCGGUGGCGAAAGCGUGCUACUGGGCUGUAUCUGACACUCAGGGACGAAAGCUAGGGGAGCGAAAGGGAUUAGAUACCCCUGUAGUCCUAGCCGUAAACGAUGGAUACUAGGCGUGGCUU